CAGCCCGGGCCCCUCCCCUGGCUCCGCCCACAGCAUCAUGGGACCCAGCCCAGGGCCU
ensembl:miRNA